rnacentral:rRNA from 1 species
AUUGAACGCUGGCGGUAGGCCUAACACAUGCAAGUCGAACGGUAGCACGAAACAGCUUGCUUCUUAGCUGACGAGUGUCGGAGGGGGGUGAAAUGUCCGGCAGACUGUACUUUGUCGGGGGGGAUCACUUGGGAACGGUAGCUAUAAUCCCACAUAGUCCCAACAGCAAAGAGGAGGGUCUCUUGGACUCUUGCCCUAGGACAUGACCAGAUGGGAUUAGCUUGUUGGGGGGGUAACGGCUCACCAAGGCGACGAUCCCUAGCUGGUCUGAGAGGAUGACCAGCCACACUGGAACUGAGACACGGUCCAGACUCCUACGGGAGGCAGCAGUGGGGAAUAUUGCACAAUGGGCGCAAGCCUGAUGCAGCCAUGCCGCGUGUAUGAAGAAGGCCUUCGGGUUGUAAAGUACUUUCAGCGGGGAGGAAGGGAGUAAAGUUAAUACCUUUGCUCAUUGACGUUACCCGCAGAAGAAGCACCGGCUAACUCCGUG